ensembl:lncRNA
AUGCCUAUCUAAUUUUAUCCCCGCACAUGCUAACAACUUCUUUGUACUCUCCCUGAGUUGCCUGUCCCUUCUUCCAUAGGAGAUAGAUUCUCUUUUUCUCCUGGAGCCCAGGAAAACUCCAUGUUCAUCCACACCAGUCUUAUUCCCCGCCAGCUCAUCUCAUGGCACAGGGCGAUAGCCUGCUUCUGCACCUUUAAAACUUCUUUCCCGAGGAGCAACCAGCCCUCCUGGACCCAUUUACCCUUCAGGAGUGAAUCCCAAAGGACACUCCUCACCAGUGUCCUGAACAGUUCAGUGCUCACCUUCCAGAAGUCCAAGGCAGCAGUUUUGCUGGGCCCCCUUGUGACUUCACCAAGAAUCGAGAACUUUACUGUUUCGUGGUCACUCCUUCCAGGACAGCUCCCGACCUUCAGAUCUCCCACGAGUCCUUCCCUGUUUGUGAACAGCAGGUCAAGCAGGGUACCUUCCUUGGUAGGGUCUCUUACCAGCUGCAUCAAGAAGUUAUCUUCCGUACACUGUAGAAACCUCCUAGACUGUUUCUUCUGCACUGUAUUUAUUUCCAGCAUACAUCAGGGAAGUUGAAAUCCCCCAUGAAGACAAGGGCUGGUGAUUGCAUAACUUCUGCCAGCUGCUCAUAGAGCAUCUGUCGCUUCAUCCUGGUUAUGUGAUCUAUAACAGACCCCCACCAGGAUGUCUGCCUUGUUGGCCUUCCUCCUGAUCCUUACCCAUAGAGAUUCAACUUUAUCAUUCUCAGCCCUAAGCUCAACAACAUCAAAACUCUCUCCAGGCCACACCAUCACCCUUCCUUCCUUGCCUAUGCCUUCCGAAGAGCUUAUAGCCAUCCAUUGCAGUACUCCAGUCAUGGAAGCAAUCCCACUAUGUUUCCAUAACAGCAACUAAGUCAUAGUUUCCUUGCCACACAACAGCUUCCUGCCCCUCCUAUUUUUUGUCCAUGCUGUAUGCAUUGGUGUAGAUGCACUUCAGCUGAGCCCCUUGCCUCACCCUCAAUCCCAUUACUGUUCCCCUAGGCUCAUUUCUAGCUGGCCUGGUUUUAUCCCCUUUCACCUUCAUAUUUAGUUUAAAACCCUUUCAAUGAGUCCUGCCAGCUCCUGGGCUAGGAUCCAUUUCCCCCUUUGAGACAGGUAAGAAUCAUCAGCAGACAUCAGGACAGGUACCGAGUAAACCACCCCAUUGUCAAUAAAUAAAUAAAUAAAUAAAUAAUCUUCUGAUAGCAUCGGACUCUCAGCCAUGUAUUUAUGAGAUGGGUUUUCCUGCUCCUCUCAGUAUCCCUCCCUGCCACUGGAGGGAUAGAGGAAAAUACGACCUGUAUGCUCUCUCCAUCCACUAACUCUCCCAGACCCCUGAAGUUCUUUUAGAUAAUCCUCAGGCUUCUCUUAGGGACUUUGUUGCUGCCAGCCUGAAUUGUCAAUAAAGGAUAAUAAUCAGAGAGGUGAAUCAGACUAGGAAGUUUCCUAGAAAUAUCCCUGACCCAGGCCCCAGGGAGGCAGUGCACUUCCCUGUGGGUAGGGUCUGGCUGAUAUACAGGGCCUUCCAUACCUCUCAGCAGGGAGUCACCUCUGACAAUCAUCUUUCUGUCCUUGGCGGAGGCAGUCUUGAGGUAUAGAGUCAACCACCUUACUCCAGACAACCUUGCAGGGGGACCUCCCACCAUGUCCUCCCUCACCUUUCCCUCAAGUUAAAGCGCCUCAAACCUGUUAUGUAGGGACACCUGGAGAACCAGUGUAGGUCAGGAUGGGGGUUGCCCACGACACCAAACUGGGACCUCUUUCCACUCCUCCUCUUCUCUCAAAUCACCUCCCUCUACCCAAUACUGACAGGGGAGGGAGCUCACCACUGUUUGGGGUGUAUCACCCUUGUGUCUUUUCUGCAAGUUCAGCAGAGAAUUACCCCACAAAUCGAUUUCCUGCUCACACUCUCUGAUACUCCGUAAUCUCUCCACCUCCUCCUUGAGCUUCACCACCAUACUGAGCAGAUUGUCCACCUGCUCACACCUCACACAGAUGGAAUCCAUGCUGCCCUUCACCAGCAGCAGCACGCUCAGGAACUUGCUGCAGCUGGAGACUUGAACGGCCAUACUUUUAGGUGGGCACUCUGUCUGAGUUGCCACAUUCUUUCUUGCCAGAACUUUCUGACUAGUGGAGACCAUGGCCCCCAUGGUGUCAGAAUGCCAUUGCGACACAGAGAACAAUGGCACCUAACAGCUGCUCCCUGACAGGGUUACCAUUCAACCAGCCAAGGGCAUCCCUGCUUCAGCACGGAAUGCAUCUGCUCCAGAGCUGAGUACCUUGCCAAAAAGCAAAGACUCCCCCUCAGGAAUCUUGGACCCUGAAGCCUUGCAGGAUAAAAUGAUUUAUGAAUAUAGAAGGAUCACCACUCCUAAAGAAAUCUUCAAAUAUAGUAUAUGCAUGAUAUUCCAGUGACUUUUAAUUCUGUGGAGAAUUUGAAGAGUCUGUGUUAUCAAGAUCCCUCAGGACAACAAAAAAGAUUUGAUAUGACUUUCCUUAAAGGGAAUUUUAAAAGGGUUCUUUAACUCUAAUUAGUGAAUCUACUUGGGAAUUCUCAGAAAUAGUAUUCUGUACUCAAAAAGAAAGAAUACCUAAUGGUUUUUCAUACAAAACAAAGUUGAUUUCCUCCUUUAAUUGCACAAUUCAGACUUAACUAAAGGACCAGAUUUGAUGAUUCCGUAUUAACAUGCGAUGAGUUCUCUCAGCACAUCUGAUCUUUAACCUUUUAUGAAUCGGACAUCACAUUUACCUGUAAGAUGUUUACAAUACAAAUUCAUACUUUUAUUUAUUUAUGGUCACUAUGUUUGUGAGGUUAUAUAAACCUAUUAUAUUUUCAUUUAAUAUUUCAUUUAUGUUUGGUAAUUAAAUACUCAUACUGUUAAUUGCUAGAACUGUUUUUUGUUUUCUUUUUUUCUGAAGCUGAGAUUAGUGGCUGUUUUGCUCCAGUGUUAUGUCAGAAAUCCUAUUUUCUAUGUCUUUUUGAGAGGUAUAUAUUCUGGUUAAGAUUCUUGCUGUGUUAUUAUAUUAAAUAAAGAUCAUCACCGUGUAAAUGAUAACACUGUACUGUUCUGCAGUCUCUUAAACUAUUGUAAAAGCAAAAAUCAGCUUGAUGUAGAGAUAGUGAAAUAAUAUACAGCACUGAAUUCCUCAAUGUAUAAACAAAUGAACAGAAUACAAUUCUGUUACAUAUUGCAUAACUUUCAUAAGUAGAAAUUGAUUUUAUCACUUGCCCAAGUAAUCUCUAUAUAUCCAGUCUUGGUCUUUCAUGAAGUAUGCUGCAUAUGCAAUAAAUAUGAAGAGUACAAGUGUGUCUUGCUGGCUUCAAAGAAAGGAAAAACAAGGUAAAAAGAAGGUAAAGGAGGAAGCAAUUAUCAAUACAAACAGAAACUUCUGCCAUCCCAGAAAAAAAGAAAAAAAGGAUCUAUAUUCUUUGGAACAUGAGACCAUAUAAAAUGAUUCAUACAUUUUAAUCAGAAGGAGAGACUUCAUUCUACAUGCUUAACAUAUAUUGGCAAGUUAUGCAAGUAUAAUGUUCUGCCUUUAAUUUAGCCUCAAACACUGCAAUGUGAAUCAGACUAAACUACAUUUAAUCAGAUUUCUGAUGAAUUAUGAAUGGACCUACGAAGAGACUGGGACAUUAAGCAACAGAUGACACAUAACUGCCCCAGAUGCUUCACCUAGGGUAAAAUCAAGUAACUGUAUUACAACUUCCUAAAAGCUGGAAGACUUAACAACCUAGAUUUGUUGAUACUUUAGGAGAAGAGGAUACUCCAGGGCAGAAGACCUCAUUGUUAAGACAGAAAUUACAGACUUGUAGAAAAGACAUCAAAAAUACAUUUUUCAUCUUUGGCAGAUAAAACAUAAUCAUAAUCGGAAUAACUAGAUUCCAAAUAAAUUACUCAAUGUGUAUUUUAUGCAAAACUAAAACAGGUCCAGUACAGGAUUUUGUAGUUUUCCCUGUGAUUAUCAAAAAUUCACCAAAGUGUAAGUCUUUAAAACUCUCACUUCUGUCUUCUGCUUUCUGUUUCAGUUUUGCAUACUCCACACUAUCCAUCCAGCUAAUUUUGUUAUUUAACUGCCUGCAUUCCAAAUGAAGGAAAUAAGAGGAGCAGGUAAAUGCCUAAUUUAGAGGUUCACUCUCUGAGGAAAUAAUGGACAGCACUGAAUUAGACUUUAUUUCCAUAUAAAACCAUGAAAAAUGGCAUCCAUUCUUAGCCAAGAAUUUGAAGACAAGACAGGAAAGCAGCACAGGGAUCCUGCUAAGCACUAUUAAAAGAUUAGUCAAAUACUUCUGUCAGUGAAAUCAUAUGCUUUUCACUAUCAACGUGUAGGCAGCAUUGUGGAUUUUCAAAGUCACAGGUAAAAUGAUUGACUGACACAGAAAAUUCUGACCUACCACUGUUGCGAAGAAUGACUGCCGUGUGGAGAAAGUGAUCUCACUGUCCCCCUGUCAGAGCAUUAUUUCAUCAAAGUACAGUGCAAGCAGUUCAGAAGUUAAGCUGUAUUUCUGUCAUUUCUCUCACAGCUCACAAAGGACUAUUAGCUUUCUGUAGCAAGUAGCUGCUGGCAACAUUGCCACUGCGUCCAGUUUCUCAAUCAACUUUGCUGGAGGGAAGACAGCCCUACACAAGACUUAAGUACACAAAUGACUGAAGAGGAAGAUUACAGAAUCACACAAAAUCACAGAAUUGGAGCGGUUGGAACGGACCUCAAGAUAUCAUCAAGUCCAUUUCAUCUGCUAAAGCCGGUUCCCAUUCCUGCUUCUUUUUUCUAACUCUCAUUCUGUCCCUAACAUUUCCUUUCAGAGAUCUCAUUUAUUCCCUGGACAACCUAACCUGCAUUUUCAUAAGUAAAGUAGCAUUAUUUUAUUGAUGCUACUUACGUAUAUUCCUAUUCUGGGCCAUCUCUUGAGAGAUUCACAGAGCCAGUCUAAGUAGGGACGCAUCCUAAUAGUUGAGUAAAUUUCUGGUUUUGUUUGUGAAGGACUUCUCUCCAACAUGAUUUAAAUCUGGAAGAAAGAAAUGUUAAACAAACCUAUGUUGCAUUUCCUGUCCAGUUACAAAGAGAAAGCAAACCCUGUGCAUCCUGGAACACAGGUAUGAGCUGUUAAAACUAUUCUCUUAAAUGCAACGCCUGUUUGCACUUUGAAACUGUGAGUUAUCAGUAGUUCUGUUGCUUUGAACAAGAGAGCCAGUGUGCUACACCUGCACUGCCACUGUAUACAGAAAGACUGUCACAAUCAGGCAAAUGAAUACUGAUUUCUUUUCCAAGUAAAUUAUGAGAUCAUAAAGGACCAUCAGAAUGUUCAGGAAUAUCUUUUGACCCAGGCUUCCUAAAACAGCCUUCUCAGUCCAAGUUUGAUGAUGACACAGGGCUGAGUGGUGCAUUCGACACAAUAGAAAAGAGAGACAUCAUCCAGAGGGACCUGGACAUGCUCAAAAAUUGUGCACAUGAGAAUCUAACAAGGUUUAAUAAGGCCAAGUGCAAGGUGUUCCACUUGGGUUGAGGCAAUCCCAGAUGUUUCCUGCUUGACCAAACUAGUGACCUUUUAUGAUAGCGUCACUGCAUCAAUGGACAAGGGAAGAACCACUAAUAUCAUCUCUCUGGACUUCAGUAAGGCCUUUGACACAGUACCCCACAACAUCCUUCUCUCCAAAUUGGAAAGAUGUGGAUUUGAUGGGUGGAUUGCUCAGUGGAUGAAGAACUGGCUGUAGGUUUGAGACCAGAGAGUGGUGGUCAAUGGCUCAAUGUCUGGAUGGAGAUCAGUGAUGAGUGGUGUCCUUCAGGGGUCAGUGCUGGGAACGAUUCUCUUUAAUAUCUUCAUCAAUGACAUUGACUGUGGGGUCAAGUGCACCCUCAGCAAGUUUGCUGAUGAUUCUAUGUAGGAUGCAGUUGAUACACCUGAGGGACAGGAUGCCAUUCAGAGGGACCUAACGGGCUUGAACCGUGGGCCCAGAUGAACAUCAUGAGGUUCAACAAAUCCAAAUGCAAGGUCUUGCACCUAGGUGGAGGCAACAUCCACUACCAGUACAAGCUGAGGGAUGAAAGGAUUGAGCACAAUCCUGCUGAAAAAGACCACAGGGUACUGGUGGAUGGGAAGUUGGACAUAAGCCAGCAAUGUACCCUUACAGCCCAGUAAGCCAGCAAUAUCUGGGCUGCAUCAAAAGAAGUGUGGCCCACAGGUUGAGGGAGGUGAUCCCACCCCCUACUCUGCUCUGGUGAAGCCUCACCUGGAGUACUGCAUCCAGAUGUGAAAUCCUCACUACAGAAGAAAGACAGACCUGCUGGAGCACGUUCAGAGGAGGGCCACACAAAUGAUCCAAUGGAUGGGACACCUCUCCUACGAGGACAGGCUGAGAGAGCUGGGGCUGUUCAGCCUGGACAAGAGAAGGUUCCGAGGUGACCUGGCAACAAGCUAAAUUAACUAAACAAAUUUGUGGCCCACACAGAAAGGUCCGUUACCUCCACUCCUUACCUUUUAUUGUAUGUUUGUAUGUUUCUGCCAGUAAAGCACUGGGAAAAAAAAAAGAAAAAAAAAAAAAAAAAGAAGGUGGUUGUAAUCAGAUCAUUGGCUAAAACAACUGAUCAAUAACAACUGCAUAUGCUGCAAAGAGCCUUUAAUGGCUCUUAAUCCCCAUUAGGCUGAGCUGGAGGAAGUUGGAGGGGAAACUGCAUCACAUUUCAACCAUUUAUAGCAGCAUACUGGUACUUGAGCAGCUUUCAGGGAAUGGGAGCACUUGUUUUGAGGUGCUCUGGGACAACCAUCAGUAGGAUAGGAAACUAUUGCAUCAUUAUCAUCCAGGAAAUGCUUUGGGGACCCUCCAGAGAAUUGAUUCCAAGGCUUAUAAUUUUUUAACAACAGUCUAUGUUGGGUCAACCAGCAGAACAGAAGCAUAAGAAGCUUUCUGCCACUGGCAACUAAACAUGUUUUGGGACAUAUUUAACUCAGUUUAUGAAAUCAAAAAGGUCCAGUUUUAAUCAUGUAUGCCACUGUACUACCUCUAGGAGCAUCUCCUUCCAAAAACGAUGCAUCUUCCUGACGUGUUUCAGUGAGGUCAUGUGAUGACAAAAGUUUCUAUAUGUACUUGCUUUGUUUCUGCAAUAAACUGAAUAAAAUAUGUACACCAAUGUUACUGGUCGCUUGAGAAUGUGUUCUUUUAUCUCACAUGUAACUCCUCUGCUUUGAAAUGACUCUACAUGUACAUCUCUUCAGCCUGUAUAUUUUGUAUAGCAAAGACAAAAGACCAAAAUUCAAAAUAAGAACCUAUAUAAAAUAUGUAGCACCCAAUCCAUAGAUACUACAUGUUAUCACAGGGUUCAAUACAAAAUCUUAGUGAAUUCAAUAUUAAGUUUGCCUAAGUUUAUCUUAUUCUUGCACUGUACUG